rnacentral:sRNA from 1 species
AUACCAACAAAUUGGGAAGCGGCGGUACA